rnacentral:tRNA from 1 species
GGAGAGAGGGUAUAGCUCAGUGGUAGAGCACAUGCUUAGCAUGUAUGAGGUCCUGGGUUCAAUCCCCAGCACCUCCA